UUUUUUCAGUAAAGUUAAUAUCUUUAUUUGGAAACCAGUUCACACAUGUAUUUCACACAACUUGAUAAGGACAACAUUGCGAUCUCAUAAGAUAAAUGGGCAAAGGACACCACAGAUGUUUUUCAAACAAUGAAUCAUAUACAAAAGAUAAAUUCAAUGUUGCUUGUAUGAAAAGAAACGUAAACCAAAAGUUACCAGGUAAUUUUAAAAUGAAACUAUCCCCUGCUGGCAAGGCGAGGUGGAAUGGGUGGGGCAAUAGAGACUGGUAUUGUCUGGCCUUUGGAAGCCAUUUGGCCCUACUAUCUAUGCAAAGCCAUAAAAAUGUUCCUAAUUUUUGAUCUAGUACUCAAACUUAACAUCCCUAAUCCUAAGAAAUAAUUCAAAAUAAUGAGCAAGAAGUUCUGCUGCAGCGUUAUUUAUAAUGAUAAUGUUGAAAAACUGAACACCACAUAAAUGUUCAACAAAGAUAGUAAUAUGCAUUGUGUUCUACUCACCUGGCAGGAUAAUCUGAUCAAUUAUUAUUUUUAAUAAUUCCAAGGACUUUGUAGAAACAUGAAAAAACACUUGAAUGUUUCAAAUAAAAGGACAUAACAUACAUGCACUAUGAUUAACUACAAAUAGAACUAUUAAGAUGAAAAGGACUCUAUCAAGACAAUAAUUGUUACGAUGAAGUAACGAGAUUUUUGAUAAUUUAUCCCCUACUACUUUUGUUUGCUGUUUUGUUGCUUUUAUAAUAUAAAUACUAAAUUAAAAAUAAUCCACAUUCUUCAUAAGCUGAUGAAGAUAGGUAUAAAGAGAUGGUCACAUGGGGAAGAAGCCAGUGAACCUCUAAGUUAAGACAGGGUGCAGGAGUUGUUAAUCACUCCAUCUUUUUUCCUUUGUGGAAAAUAAUCUUCCUCUGAGCAAAGCUUCCAUGGCUCAUGUUCUUCUGUGUGUGCAGCUCUGCUGUGUGGGGUCAUGGAAAUAUAGUAUUUUAGAAUGGGCAGAGUCUCAGGGAUCAUUUUAUUCCAAACUCCCAGCUAAUUCCAGAACCAGAACUAUAGCAUCCAUUGCAAGCACCUGUAAUGGAUGCUUCUGAUUGAUUGAUUAUUCCCGUGAAUGGGGAGCUCACCACCUCACAAAGCAGUCUGUUCAGUCUCUGCCUUCUCCAUCGUGCCUGAUGCUGUUAUCCGUGGCCAUGCCUCUAAACCUCACACAAAGCAGGCCUUACUAGUCAAUCACUUCUUUCCAGCUGGGAUUUCAAACCACAAAUCACAAACUAAGAGACUAGAGUGAUACCGAUCAUUCUUCCUAACAAAAGAAAAAUAUUAAGCUCAAAAUACGAGACUAUCCCUAUUCAUGAAAAAUAUAUCCUAGAAAUGGGAAUAUAGAAACCCAUGGCUAUCCUACUGAACAGGAAAAAAUUACAGGCCAAGAUGAAUUCCCUAAGAAAAGAGCUAGAGACAGUCACUCAGGCUUCUCCCUAAAGAUUAAAGGCUCUAGAUCUGUAAACAUUUUAAUUUGGAAAACUCUUUCAGUUCUUCUGAGUACAAGAGGGGGAAGCCAUCUUUCCAGUGCUUAUCUUUCUUCCUAUACCCCAGCUUCUGCUCCGUCUACCUCAGCAACAGAAGCGGAGGGCUGAUAAAGUGGCUAAGGAGGGCUGGCGGCGGGACUGGGUUUUUAGGACACACUAUUCUCUUAGCCAACAAUCACCCCAUUGAACCCUGCGGACCUUGAUCUUGGACUUUAUGGCCUCCCGAACUGUGAGAAGAUAAAUUCCUGUUCUUUAAGCCACCCAGUCUGUGGUGUUUUGUUAUGGCAGCCCGUGCUGACUGAGGCACAAGGCAAUAAGGACCAUCAGAGGAAGAGGGUGCAGGCGGCACAGUGGGGGACCGCGGAAGAGGGUGUGAGAAGCCGGGGCCUGGCUGAUCAGCUCUUCCUAGAGAUGCGGGGAGCACAGGAGAGCUAAGAACACAGGAGAACCAAGAACCUAGAAACGAAAACAUCAGCCCGGGGCAGUGAGCAGCAGCCCUGGAGGAGGAGGGAGUCUGCAGAGAAAAGCGAGGAGGAAAGGUCUAACUCUUCUCUCAGCUGUGGGUUAAAAAAAAGUAUAGAAAAUGCUGGGGCGAGUUCUUUUGGGAUUUUCCCUGGAGCAGAAAGUUGGUAUGCCCUGCUGCAUAUAGUAGUACUGUGACAUUUCACAGUCCGUGGGUUACCAGGUCCUACACGAUGAUUCCCUCAAAGUGGUGGAGGGUUAGAGCGAGGGGGUAGGAGUUAAGAGGACCUGAUUCUCCUGUUAGUCCCUGGGUAACACUAAUAUGUGUCCACCUGCUGGGCCCCAAGUGCCCUCUGGAUCAACACACAUAGGCUGUCUGUACAACACCAGGAGGGAUAGAGGAAGGCCCUCGAGCUCAGAGGGCAAAGAAGUACAGCCCAGGGAGAGGUCCUUGCUCUGGACUCCCAUUUCGGCUUCCACCCCAACAGGCGUGUCGUGUCUGCUUGGAUCCCCUUUCUGAUCUGGGCCCUUACUUGAAUCAAAGGGAAGGAGACAGAGCCUCUCAGAAGACCAAGAGCAAACGAAGGCUGGACACAAGCGGCUUCUCUCCCCAGCGUCUGGAAAGGUAGUGCUCACCCAGCAAUCCUCUAAGAUUUUCCACUGUUGAUGACAUGUGCAGACUGCCGGCGGCCUUCAUGGGGACCGAGCUUUGCAAAGGAGGAUCAACACUUUGUCAUGACCAAAAGCAGUAAUGUCUCCUGAGGCGGGCUGUCAGACAUCCUACCAGACUAUGACCAACGCGUUUGCCUUUCCUCUUACUCAUAGUUGCCUUAGAUCCAGCACCUAACACACAGGAGCUGUGCCCUAGGCGGGGUGUUCGCUCACAACUCCCACUGGAGGCCACAGCCCUGCU
rnacentral:lncRNA from 1 species